UACGAAGGGGGCUAGCGUUGUUCGGAAUUACUGGGCGUAAAGCGCGUGUAGGCGGUUGUUCAAGUCGGGUGUGAAAGCCUUGAGCUCAACUCAAGAAAUGCACUCGGUACUGGAUGACUAGAGGACCGGAGAGGAUAGUGGAAUUCCCAGUGUAGUGGUGAAAUACGUAGAGAUUGGGAAGAACACCAGUGGCGAAGGCGGCUACCUGGACGGUUUCUGACGCUAAGACGCGAAAGCGUGGGGAGCAAACAGG
rnacentral:rRNA from 1 species